ensembl:lncRNA
CUGGCUUCCGGCUCCGGCUUGGAGCUCAGUGUUAAGAAAGUGGGUGUUCUGCGUUAGUGUUUAGGUAGGUUGUUUAGCUGUCGCCAGCCUCAGGGUCGCCAGUAACUAGCCAGUUCUUUUAUUCAUACGUUCAUCCUGAUGCCAACAAUAAAACUCGACGCGGAGCGAUUAAAUCGACCUAUGCACAGUCUUGCAUCUGCUCUAUCAGCAAUUCCGGCUACUGUUACACCACCAUUCUGACUUUUAAACAGAAGCCGUCGGGCUUCCGUAACGCAAGUAAAUAGAGUCAACAAGCAGAACUUAAGCACUGGAUAUAAUGUCUCCAAAUGCUCACUGAUCGCUGCCUACGCUCAAGUGACCUAAGUGUGGUCGUGCACGCCGGAAUCCCAAUGAUAUGAAGGUGGAGACAGGCGUUAAAGGCCAACCUCAGCUGCAUGAGACACUGUCUCAUAAAUGAAAAUUUAAAAAGAAGCACAGGCUCUAGUGUGAGAUAACUGAGGACAAUCACAAUUUAGUGAAAUGAUCUGACAGUUUCUAUAUGGCUAAAUAGACAGUCGAUGAGUACCUUAAGACUAAGAAUCUGAUUAUUCUGGUGGAGCAGCAUGCAGCCUCUGCUACUCUUAAGACUGAGGCUGUAGGAUCACAAGUUGAAGGACACUCUGAAGAGCUAAUGAGACCCUAUUUCAUAAAGUAUUUCAAAAAGAAAGGGGGCAGUUUUAAAGGAACGUCCAAAGAAAACCAAAGGAAACACAGAUUCUUGCUGAGCCGGGCUGGAGGAAGAGGCAUCGGAGUUCUUUUGUCUUUAGAAUGAAGUUGGCAACCCGAUUCCCAGUGGACGAGUGGCUCAUGGACUGACUGUGUCGAACUCCCAGGGAGCAUCACAGCCGUUUUCCAAGGCAAGCUCCGCACCACGUCACACUCUCCCCGGUAGCAUGUGAGAGCUCCAACCGCUCCACAUCCUCGCCACCCCUUCUUAUGUUCGGGUUUAUUGCUGUUGUUAUUACUAUUGUUGUCCAAACUUGGUGAAUAUGAAUUAGUAGUUCCUUGUGAUUUUGAUAAUGACUAAUGAUAUUAGUUAGCCGUAUGGGUUUCUUAGCUAUCUGUAUAUUUUCCUUGUUUAAAAAAAAAAUGUCUAGGGGCUGGAGAGAUGGCUCGGCAGUUAAGGGCGCUCUUCCCAAGGACUCAGUUCAAAUCCCAGCAUCUACAUGGCAACUCACAACUGCCUGUAACUCCAAGAUCUGACACUCUCAUGUAGACACAGAUGCAGGCAAAGUACCAACGCACAUUAAAUAAAUAAUAACAUUAAAAAAUCUCUAUUUACUAGUGGUCUAAUUUUCAGUUGGGUUAACAUAUUGUCAUUGGAUUGCAGAUAGUCUUUACAUAGUCCCCCAUCCUUUAGGUUGUCUUUUAAAUUUAGUGUCUAGGUUUGAAGCACCAAGGACUCAAUGUUGAGAAAGUCCAGUUAAUCCAUCUUUUCCUCUGUCACUGGGGCUUUGGAGCUGUAGCCAAGGAAUGCAAGCUCGUGAGCGUUUACUCCAGUGCCCCGACAGAGCUUUGGACUUGGACCUUACAUAUGGGUCUCUGCUCAGCUGGAGGCUAACUUUUAGGUAUGGCUUGGGGUCUCCCUCCUUUGUGUGUGGCUCUCCAGCAUCCACCAUUCGUUGAAAAGACUCUUCUUUCCGCCCUUUCAGUAUCUUAGCGCCUUAGGGUGGCCGGGGUGGGGGUACACAGGACCUGGGUUUGAUCG